AUCGAACGCUGGCGGCAGGCCUAACACAUGCAAGUCGAGCGAGCGGCGGACGGGGGAGUAAUGUCUGGGAAAAUGCCUGAAGGAGGGGGAUAACUACUGGAAACGGUAGCUAAUACCGUAUACCAUGAGCUGUGCCCAGAUGGGAUUAGCUAGUAGGUCGGGUAAUGGCUCACCUAGGCGACGAACCCUAGCUGGUCUGAGAGGAUGACCAGCCACUGUGGAACUGAGACACGGUCCAGACGCCUACGGGAGGCAGCAGUGGGGAAUAUUGCACAAUGGGCGCAAGUCUGAUGCAGCCAUGCCGCGUGAGUGAAGAAGGCCUUCGGGUUGUAAAGCACUUUCGUCCAGGAGGCGUUACUCGCAGAGAAAGCACCGGCUAACUCCGUGCCAGCAGCCGCGGUAAUAC
rnacentral:rRNA from 1 species